AUUGAACGCUGGCGGCAGGCCUAACACAUGCAAGUCGAACGAGUGGCGGACGGGUGAGUAAUGUCUGGGAAACUGCCUGAUGGAGGGGGAUAACUACUGGAAACGGUAGCUAAUACCGCAUACCAUCGGAUGUGCCCAGAUGGGAUUAGCUAGUAGGUGGGGUAAAGGCUCACCGAGGCGACGAUCCCUAGCUGGUCUGAGAGGUUGACCAGCAAAACGGGAAAGUAGAAACGGUCACGACUCCUACGGGAGGCAGAAGUGGGGAAUAUUGCAAAAUGGGGGCAAGCCUGAUGCAGCCAUGCGGGGUGUAUGAAGAAGGCCUUCGGGUUGUAAAGUACUUUCAGCGGGGAGGCGUUACCCGCAGAAGAAGCACCGGCUAACUCCGUGCCAGCAGCCGCGGUAAUAC
rnacentral:rRNA from 1 species